rnacentral:rRNA from 1 species
GGGGCCCCGCACAAGCAGCGGAGCGUUGUGGUUUAAUUCGAUGCUACACGAAGAACCUUACCUGGGUUUGACAUGCACGUGGUAGGGAACCGAAAGGGGACCGACCUUCGGGAGCGUGCACAGGUGCUGCAUGGCUGUCGUCAGCUCGUGCCGUGAGGUGUCGGGUUAAGUCCCGUAACGAGCGCAACCCUUGCCCUUAGUUACAAGUGUCUAAGGGGACUGCCCGGGACAACUGGGAGGAAGGUGGGGAUGACGUCAAGUCAGCAUGGCCUUUAUAUCCAGGGCUACACACACGCUACAAUGGCCGGUACAAUAGGUUGCGAAGUCGUGAGGCGGAGCCAAUCCUCAAAGCCGGUCUCAGUUCGAAUUGCAGUCUGCAACUCGACUGCAUGAAGCUGGAGUUGCUAGUAAUCGCAGGUCAGCUAUACUGCGGUGAAUACGUUCCCGGGCCUUGUACACACCGCCCGUCACGUCAUGGAAGCUGGCAACGCCUGAAGCCGGUGAGCUAACCCGAAAGGGAGGCAGCCGUCGAGGGUGGGGCUGGUAACUGGGACGAAGUCUGUAACAAGGUAACCAAGGGCGAA